rnacentral:rRNA from 1 species
UACGUAGGGUGCGAGCGUUGUCCGGAAUUAUUGGGCGUAAAGGGCUCGUAGGCGGUUUGUCGCGUCGGGAGUGAAAGCCCAGGGCUUAACCCUGGGUCUGCUUCUGAUACGGGCAGACUAGAGGUAUGUAGGGGAGAACGGAAUUCCUGGUGUAGCGGUGAAAUGCGCAGAUAUCAGGAGGAACACCGGUGGCGAAGGCGGUUCUCUGGGCAUUACCUGACGCUGAGGAGCGAAAGUGUGGGGAGCGAACAGGAUUAGAUACCCUGGUAGUCCACACCGUAAACGUUGGGCGCUAGGUGUGGGAUCCAUUCCACGGGUUCCGUGCCGCAGCUAACGCAUUAAGCGCCCCGCCUGGGGAGUACGGCCGCAAGGCUAAA